UACGGAGGGUGCAAGCGUUAUCCGGAUUCACUGGGUUUAAAGGGUGCGUAGGUGGCUUUGUAAGUCAGUGGUGAAAUGCCGGAGCUUAACUCCGGAACUGCCAUUGAUACUGCCUAGCUUGAAUCACGUCGAGGUGGAUGGAAUAUUACAUGUAGCGGUGAAAUGCUUAGAUAUGUAAUAGAACACCGAUUGCGAAGGCAGUUCACUAGGCGUGUAUUGACACUGAGGCACGAAAGCGUGGGGAUCAAACAGG
rnacentral:rRNA from 1 species